rnacentral:misc_RNA from 1 species
UACGGAGGGUGCAAGCGUUGUUCGGAAUUACUGGGCGUAAAGGGCGCGUAGGCGGCCGAUCAAGUCUGAUGUGAAAUCCCUCGGCUCACCCGAGGACGUGCGUCGGAAACUGGUCGGCUCGAGUACCGGAGAGGAGAGUGGAAUUCCUGGUGUAGCGGUGAAAUGCGUAGAUAUCAGGAGGAACACCGGUGGCGAAGGCGGCUCUCUGGCCGAGUACUGACGCUGAGGCGCGAAAGCGUGGGGAUCAAACAGG